GUAGGGGGGCAAGCGUUGUCCGGAAUUAUUGGGCGUAAAGAGCACGUAGGCGGUUUGCCAAGUCAGAUGUGAAAUCCCGCAGCUUAACUGCGGAACUGCAUUUGAUACUGGCAGGCUAGAGUACAGGAGAGGGAAGCGGAAUUCCUAGUGUAGCGGUGAAAUGCGCAGAUAUUAGGAAGAACACCGGUGGCGAAGGCGGCUUCCUGGACUGUUACUGACGCUGAGGUGCGAAAGCUAGGGGAGCAAACAGGAUUAGAUACCCUGGUAGUCCUAGCCGUAAACGAUGGGCACUAGGUGUAGGGGGUAUCAACUCCCCCUGUGCCGCAGCUAACGCAUUAAGUGCCCCGCCUGGGGAGUACGGUCGCAAGACUA
rnacentral:rRNA from 1 species